rnacentral:rRNA from 1 species
AGCAGCCGCGGUAAUUCCAGCUCCAAUAGCGUAUAUUAAAGUUGUUGCAGUUAAAAAGCUCGUAGUUGAACUUCGGGGUUUACCCAUUGGUCAGGCUUAAUUGUCUGUACUGGUGAGAUAAAUCUCUACCUUCUGAGGAACUUUCAUGUCAUUAAUUGGUGUGAUUGGAAAUCAGGACUGUUACUUUAGAAAAAAUUAGAGUGUUUAAAGCAGGCUAACGUCUGAAUACAUUAGCAUGGAAUAAUGAAAUAGGACGGACUGAUUCUAUUUCGUUGGUUUCUAGGAUCACCGUAAUGAUUAAUAGGGAUAGUUGGGGGCAUUAGUAUUCAAUUGUCAGAGGUGAAAUUCUUGGAUUUAUUGAAGACUAACUACUGCGUAAGCAUUUUGCCAAGGAUGUUUUUCAUUAAUCAAGAACGAAAGUUAGGGGAUCGAAGACGAUCAGAUACCGUCGUAGUCUUAACCAUAAACUAUGCCGACUA